GUUUCUGUAGUGUAGUGUAGCGGUCAUCACGUGCGCCUAACACGCGCAAGGUCCCCAGUUCGAUCCUGGACGGAAACA
rnacentral:tRNA from 1 species